rnacentral:rRNA from 1 species
UAGGGAAUCUUCCACAAUGGACGCAAGUCUGAUGGAGCAACGCCGCGUGAGUGAAGAAGGUUUUCGGAUCGUAAAGCUCUGUUGUUGGUGAAGAAGGAUAGAGGCAGUAACUGGUCUUUAUUUGACGGUAAUCAACCAGAAAGUCACGGCUAACUACGUGCCAGCAGCCGCGGUAAUACGUAGGUGGCAAGCGUUGUCCGGAUUUAUUGGGCGUAAAGCGAGCGCAGGAGGAAUGAUAAGUCUGAUGUGAAAGCCCACGGCUCAACCGGGGAACGGCAUCGGAAACUGUCAUUCUUGAGUGCAGAAGAGGAGAGUGGAAUUCCAUGUGUAGCGGUGGAAUGCGUAGAUAUAUGGAAGAACACCAGUGGCGAAGGAGGCUCUCUGGUCUGCAACUGACGCUGAGGCUCGAAAGAAUGGGUAGCGAACAGG